CGGUCCUAAGGUAGCGAAAUUCCUUGUCGGGUAAGUUCCGACCUGCACGAAUGGCAUAAUGAUGGCAGCGCUGUCUCCAGCAGAGACUCAGUGAAAUCGAAAUCGCAGUGAAGAUGCUGUGUACCCGCGGCUAGACGGAAAGACCCCGUGAACCUUUACUACAGCUUUACAUUGAACUUUGACCUAACUUGUGUAGGAUAGGUGGGAGGCUUUGAAGUAGUGACGCCAGUUACUAUGGAGCCAACCUUGAAAUACCACCCUGGUUAUGUUGGGGUUCUAACUUCGAAUUAACAAAUUCAAGGACAAUGUAUGGUGGGUAGUUUGACUGGGGCGGUCUCCUCCUAAAGAGUAACGGAGGAGUACGAAGGUGCGCUCAGAACGGUCGGAAAUCGUUCAAAGAGUAUAAAGGCAAAAGCGCGCUUAACUGCGAGACCCACAAGUCGAGCAGGUACGAAAGUAGGUCUUAGUGAUCCGGUGGUUCUGUAUGGAAGGGCCAUCGCUCAACGGAUAAAAGGUACUCCGGGGAUAACAGGCUGAUACCGCCCAAGAGUUCAUAUCGACGGCGGUGUUUGGCACCUCGAUGUCGGCUCAUCUCAUCCUGGGGCUGAAGCAGGUCCCAAGGGUAUGGCUGUUCGCCAUUUAAAGAGGUACGCGAGCUGGGUUUAGAACGUCGUGAGACAGUUCGGUCCCUAUCUACCGUGGGCGUUGGAAAUUUGAGAGGAUCUGCUCCUAGUACGAGAGGACCAGAGUGGACGAACCUCUGGUGUUCCGGUUGUCACGCCAGUGGCAUUGCCGGGUAGCUAUGUUCGGAUGGGAUAACCGCUGAAAGCAUCUAAGCGGGAAGCCCACCUCAAGAUAAGAUUUCCCUAAAGAGCCGUUGUAGACUACGACGUUGAUAGGUUGGGUGUGGAAGCAUGGCGACAUGUGUAGCUAACCAAUACUAAUUGCUCGUUUGGCUUGACCAU
rnacentral:rRNA from 1 species